UUUUAUAUGCGUGAGUCGCGACUGAAUCGGUAAAAUCGUCAACAAAAUUAUGACAUUAGAUAUAUUAGAUAUAUGUCAUAUCUAGAAAUAUAAAAAUAUAGAAUAUGUUUUAUAUAAAUUAAAGUAAAAAAUACAGAUUUUUUAUAUUAAAUUAAUUAAUUUUUAUAUUAUUUUAAUUUUUAUAUUAAAUUAAAUUAAUUUUUAUAUUAAAAUAAAGAUUUUGUAGAUUUAUACUAAUAAUAAGAAUAAAAUUUUAUUCUCUCCAAUCAAUUAUAAAUAUUCAACAUUUCAUAAACAAUUAUAAAUGAAUUGGUAAUAUCAAUACAUUUCAUGAAUGCGUAUCGUUCACACAUAUCAAUAUUGCCAACUUUUAAUAAAGCUAAAAGGUUGGCAACCUAACGAAACUAACCUGUUAUUUGUUGUUUAUUUUCUGCAUGUAUGUCUCACAACUAAAUCGGUAAAAUCAUCAAUAAAAUUAUAAAAUUAUCGAUGGAAAUAUGUUUUGUAAAUUAAUAAAAAUUUUAUAAAUAUAUGAAAUACAUAGAUUUAUAUGAAGCAAUUUACAUAAGACAUAACUUUUUAUGUCUAUUUGAAUGCAGGAUCCGGUGCAAAAAACAAUUAGUUUGCAUAAAUCAGUGAUAGUGACAACAUCUACAAUUCACAAUUUAUUCGCAUUAUAAAAAAAAAUUAUUCUUACAAAAAUACAAGAGAACAAUAAAUAAUGAGAAAUAUUGAUAAGAUUAAGUAGAAUUUAAUAUACUACUUUUUUUAUUUUAAUUUGAUUAUUUUUUUAUUUUGAUAAUUACUUUAUUUUAGUUUAUUUCAUUUUAUUUUUUAUUUUAAAAUAAAACUAUAUUAAUAUUUAUAACUACUGAAUAAAUAAUAAAAAUGAAUGAGAAAGAAACA